GAUGAACGCUAGCGGCAGGCUUAACACAUGCAAGUCGAGGGGUAUUGGAGGCUUGCUUCCAAGAGACCGGCGCACGGGUGCGUAACGCGUAUGCAACCUACCUUGAACAGGGGGAUAGCCCAGAGAAAUUUGGAUUAAUACCCCAUGGUAGUAUUGGAUGGCAUCAUUUGAUAAUUAAAGUUCCGACGGUUCAAGAUGGG
rnacentral:rRNA from 1 species